rnacentral:lncRNA from 1 species
ACUGCGAAGCCCAGCUGCGCGCGCCUUGGGAUUGACUGUCCACGCUCGCCCGGCUCGUCCGACGCGCCCUCCGCCAGCCGACAGACACAGCCGCACGCACUGCCGUGUUCUCCCUGCGGCUCGGACACAUAGUAUGACCAUUAGGUGUUUCGUCUCCCACCCAUUUUCUAUGGAAAACCAAGGGGAUCGGGCCAUGAUAGCCACUGGCAGCUUUGAAGAACGGGACACCUUUAGAGAAGCUUGAUCUUGGAGGCCUCACCGUGAGACCUUACAAAGCCGGCUCUGACCUGGACCCCUCAUCCCUGCCUGUCUUGUGGUGUAAGUGCGGAUCCCCCUAAGUUGGAGGAAAGGAAACUGGCCCAAACAAAAAGGAGAGCAGUUUUCUCUGCAUCACAUGGUAGGCCAGGAGGAGUCUAAUGCCCCAGAGUUUACUCUCAGCCCCCAAAAUCACCUAGCUAAAUGUUACCUUAUCUAAGAAGUCCUUAGGUUUUUUGGGGUUUGUUUUUUUUUUUUUUGAGACAAGGUCUCACUCUCUCACCCAGACUGGAGCACAGUGGCACAAUCACAGCUCACUGCAGCCUCAACCUCCUGGGCUCAAGCAAUCGUCCCAAGUAGCUGGGACUAUAGGCCUGCACCACCAUGUCCAGCUAAUUUAUUUUUAUUUAUAUUUUUUAGACAGGGUCUCAUUAUGUUGCCCUGGCUGGUCUUGAACUCCUGGGUUCAAGCAGUCCUCCCACCUCUGCCUCCCAAAGUGCUAGGUUUUUUUUUGUUUGUUUGUCUGUUUUUUGAAACAGAGUCUUGCUCUGUCGCCUAGGCUGGAGUGCAGUGGCACGAUCUCAGCUACUGCAACCUCCACCUCCUGGGUUCAAGUGAUUCUCCUGCCUCAGCCUCCUAAGUAGUUGGGAAUACAGGCGUGUGCCAACACACCCAGCUCAUUUUUGUAUUUUUAGCGGAGAUGGGGUUUUGCCAUGUUGGCCAAGCUGGUCUCAAACUCCUGACCUCAGGUGAUUCGCCCGCCUCAGCCUCCCAAAGUGCUGGGUUUACAGGCGUGAGCCACCACACCCAGCCCAAGAAGUCUUUUCUGAUCACCCACUCUUCCUUCUCUCCCAAUGGCAUUAGUUGUUCCCUCCUUUGCAUUUUGAGAGUAUGUCCUGUAAGCCCCAAAUGCAGCUUGAAUCAUCUGCCCAUCCACCCCCUGUGCCCAACAGUAAGCCUCCUCUAGAGUAGAUACUAUCUCCUGCAUCUCAGUGAACCACUGCCCAGCAAAGCAGUCUUGCUAAAACAAUGACUCUAGAGAUCCUAAGCUGUGUGAGAGCUGGAGGAGAGAAUUAGACUGAUGGUCUGGGAAGGGAUUGAAUUAGUCAUCUUGUACCUUUUCUUCUUGACUUAAGUUCCAGACCUGUAGCAACCAUUCCUGCUUAGACAUCCAGAACAUAAGCCUAUGGGUCUGUGCCUGUUGGGUCUUAGUCUGGGUGAAACUUUUCUCUACUUCUGUCAGCUCUCCAGAUGAACCACAGAAGCAGGAAUGUGGGCAUCAUCAGUGAAAUCUCUGCAUACAGCAGACAAAGGGCUGGUCCAGUGGCUGUUUAUGAGGCAGCGCUAGGAGAGCUCUGAUCCAGACUCUCCCUGCAGUGAAAGGGAGGGAGCCCUUCAUGAAGUAUUGACUGCUUGAGCAGGAAUUGCUUCACCAGCACCUAACUGAGUGCCUCUCGAGCUCACAUCGGUUUUCCCUCAUGAGGCCACUUGGAGUCUUGCUGAGGGACUUGGUUCUAUUAGGGAAGGUGAGUUUGGGGAUGGUGAGCAGGGAGGGCCUGGGGACAUUGUGGCUAAUGGGGCUUUUCUCCUCUUGGCUUAGAUUCCGGCAGAGUUCCUCUAUCUCGUCUUGUUGCUGAUUAAAGGUGCCCCUGUCUCCAGUUUUUCUCCAUCUCCUGGGACGUAGCAGGAAAUCAGCAUCAUGGUUGGGUUCAAGGCCACAGAUGUGCCCCCUACUGCCACUGUGAAGUUUCUUGGGGCUGGCACAGCUGCCUGCAUCGCAGAUCUCAUCACCUUUCC